GUUUCCGUAGCUCAGCAGGAUAGAGCGUCCGCCUCCUAAGCGGAAGGUCGUGCGUUCGAAUCGCAUCGGGAACA
rnacentral:tRNA from 9 species